GCCGGGUGCGGUGGCCCACGCCUGUCAUCCCAGCAGCUCGGGAGGCUGAGGCAGGAGGACGGUGAGUUCAAAGCCAGCCUCAGCAAAAGUGAGGUGCUAAGCAACUCAGUGAGACCCUGUCUCUA
rnacentral:sRNA from 1 species